rnacentral:rRNA from 1 species
CCGGGGCUUAUUCUCCCGGUACUGUCAUUAUCAUCCCGGGUAAAAGAGCUUUACAACCCUAAGGCCUUCAUCACUCACGCGGCAUUGCUGGAUCAGGGUUGCCCCCAUUGUCCAAUAUUCCCUACUGCUGCCUCCCGUAGGAGUCUGGGCCGUGUCUCAGUCCCAGUGUGGCUGAUCAUCCUCUCAGACCAGCUAAGGAUCGUCGGCUUGGUGAGCCUUUACCUCACCAACUAGCUAAUCCUACGCGGGCUCAUCCCUGGGAGAUAAAUCUUUGGUCUUAUCGACAUCAUCCGGUAUUA